GAUGUUCUUUAUCUUUUCCAGUGUUGUUACAAUGAAAAUUUGCUUUUUAUUUUUGAUGAUAAUUAGGUUUAUUUGAUUUUUCUGUUGAAAACUACUAAACUGCAUGCUAUUGAACUUUCUUCCUAUCCUGUUCUUGUUCAGCACAACUUCAUUUUUAAUUCUGAAUGUAGUAAAUUUUGUUUACUAUAACAGUUUUUGAACUCGUUUAUGUUAUCGAGGAUGCUAAUACUGAUGUUUUAUUGGACCAUCUUGCUUACUUUGGAAAUUACUGCUGGAUUGAAUGGUUACUGUUGAAGGAGUGAAACUUCCCUUCAUGCAAUUUAGUCAUCCAUGACAUGCUUGUGGAUGAAUCAUUCUGUUCUGUCUUCCCAUUCUUUUCUUUUU
rnacentral:misc_RNA from 1 species